rnacentral:rRNA from 1 species
UACGUAGGUGGCAAGCGUUGUCCGGAUUUACUGGGCGUAAAGAGCGCGCAGGCGGUCGUUCAAGUCGCGUGUGAAAGCCCCCGGCUCAACUGGGGAGGGUCACGCGAUACUGAUCGACUCGAAGGCAGGAGAGGGUAGUGGAAUUCCCGGUGUAGUGGUGAAAUGCGUAGAUAUCGGGAGGAACACCAGUGGCGAAGGCGGCUCUCUAGUACGGUACUGACGCUGAGACGCGAAAGCGUGGGGAGCGAACAGG